rnacentral:lncRNA from 1 species
CCGGGGAGAGUAUUCUGGGGCGGCUGGAAAAGUACAGUUUCUUGGCCUGGAUGGUAGUUAUAAGGGUGUUGAUUUUAUAAUAAUUCACUAAGCUUCACAUUUGUUUUGCGUCGUUUUCUGUAUAUUGGACAUCUGAUUCAAAUCAAGACCUUGUAACUCCAACGCUCAAGGCUACUAUACAACCCGCAGAGGCGGAGGGGGCCGCUUGUCACUGCCGUGCUUGGGUAUGCGUCCCCGGCGACCGUGCAAGGGACUCACUGCAGGGGGUGCUGCAGGCACGCUGGGACCGAGGAAAGAAGUGCAAUUCCCAGACCUGGCUCCAGGGACGCCCAGAGGCCUCCCUCUCCCGUGCAACUCGAACUGGAGAGCCAGGGAGGAGGCGCGAGGACAGGAGCCCCCGUGGCCACCGUGUGCCGGGGCGCAGCGGCCGCAGAGCUGGCAGCCAACCCCGCCGGGCCAGCCAGGUGCGCACUCGCAGGGAGCCGAAGCGGGGCCACAGGGAUGCGGGCCGGCGGGCGGGCAGGCGCGGGCCGGGGGACAGGCGGACAGCCCGGCGCGCCCCGAGCCGCUCCGGCACCACGGCCCGGAGGAGGCUGGCCCCGUGCGGCUGGCGGGCUGCCGGGCUGCACGUGGCGCGGUGGCUCCUUUGGUCCUACCGACCCUGUCGCCCCCAGAUCCCGGCUCUCAGGCGCCAAAGCCUGAGCGGACUCCCAGCUGGUCUCCGGAGCGGACGUCUCUCCAGUCCCAGGACUGCGGCGCCCGGCCCC